rnacentral:tRNA from 1 species
GUUUUUGUAGUUGAAUUACAACGGUGGUUUUUCAAGUCACUAAUCCUGGUUAAAGUCCGGGUAAAAACU